rnacentral:rRNA from 1 species
GACGAGGGGUCCAAGCGUUGCUCGGAAUCAUUGGGCGUAAAGCGGGUGUAGGCGGCUUUGUAAGUCAGGAGUGAAAGCCCUGGGCUCAACCCAGGAAGUGCUUUUGAUACUGCAAAGCUUGAGUGUGGGAGAGGAUAGUGGAAUUCCAGGUGUAGUGGUGAAAUACGUAGAUAUCUGGAGGAACACCGGAGGCGAAGGCGGCUAUCUGGCCCAACACUGACGCUCAGACCCGAAAGCAUGGGGAUCAAAC